GUUAUAAAAUAUCUCGAAAACGAUAGUGAUAAAUAUGUAAGAAGCAAAGUUGUAAGAUUAAAAAUAUAUUUAUCCAAUGAUGAUAAGAGUUUGGCUUUGGGUAUGAUUAUAUGGGUAUGUUGUGUAUAUAUAUAUAUAUAUAUAUAUACACGUAUGUGUAUAUAGCAUAUAGAGCAUAUGAUGAUAUGAGCAUAUAGAGACAAAAUUCAUAUAUAAUCAUUUUUUCCCGGGAUAUUUGGUAUGUGUAAAUAUUAAUAAAGCCUUAAAGUAGAAUAGAUAGCGCGAAAAUUCUUUAUUAACGUGGGAAAUAUUUAUUUAGGGAUUUUUCAGGUUUUGAUCAAAUGACGCUGUUUUACAUUAUCCAUUCUCAGUUUAGCUCUCUAAUACAAUCUCACAUGAUGCAAUGUUCACGUUUCGACACAGGAUGUAAUGUAAUGUAUAUAAUGUAUGUAUCCGUUAUCCGUAAGUUCCUCUGGAGUAUUAUGUAUGCGUGCGGUUUCUCCAUUAAUCUAUACAAAUCCAAAAAUUAAUAUUUUUUUAUUAAUUCAAAAUUACAUUGAUUUUUAAGUCAAAGCUACGUCUCGCAAUGUAGCAUGAAUGUCACCACUCGUUUAAAUUUCAUAUUCGUUAUAUUAAGUCUCAAUUGAAGGGCUGACGUAAUUAAUUAAAAAGACAUGUAAUAAAUCUGCCGUUGUAAUUGGCAACUAUAAUACAUUUCUUUUAUCGUCUCUCCAAAUCCUUCAUUUAAAGUAAUAGGUUAACCGAAACUGUAUCUCAUUUCAGUAAACAGUAUAUUGUAGAUUGAGAAAAAGCUCUGAUGACUUUUCUGUAUAAUUACAAUUGCGGUAUAACGUGUCAACCCUUAGAGCUUUCGUACAACUUCAAAAAUCGACAAAAAGGUAAAAAAUGAAGGGAACGUAGAAAAAUAGGAAAUCAAUUUGCGCAUUAAGUAUCGGGUAGUAGUAACGAGAAGUCCUGUAAUCACCUCAAUCAGACGCUUAGAAACCCCAAGCAGAACACAGCUAAGAUAAUAGGAGGAGGAAGAAGAAGAAGAAGAAGCAGCAAGAAUAAUCAGCAAUGCCAAAUUUUAAGGAGGGGGAUAUUUAUUAUCAAUAUGGCAACUGCAACAUGUAUUAUGGGAAUUCCUAUUGCAAAGCAGAUCCUCUUGACUUAAAACGUUUGCUGAGUGUAAAAAGUUGUUUGUGGAAAAAGAUUGUUCUGAAAAUUGUACAUAAUAUUUGGCAUAUCACCUCAUCUGUAACGAGAGAGUAAAGAGUGUCACGGAAAUUGAUGUCGAUAGAAUACUGCUCGAUCAGUAUUGCUCGAAAAAAAAAAUGUAAAGCAUUAUAUAAAGUGCGUGCAAUGGUUGGUGAUGAUUUACAUAGAAAUGUGGAGAGCGACAGAAGAGAAAGUAUCAGAUUUGGAUAUGAAUUUCUUCCCUAAGUCGUUGCCCGUCAACUAUAGGCCCAUACAUAUUCCAGGAACCACGGACGGUGUUUCCUCAUAAUGUCACAUUUGUCGAACUAUGCAUAAUGACGUUUUUCUGCACGCAGAGCAACCAUACUUCGAUACGAUUUUACCCCAGUUUGGCUAUCUGGAUACAUCUCUGUAUCAUCAAGUGGAUGCAUUUCAAUUUUGAUGACGCUGGCCUCAAGUAGACGUUUAAGCGUAAUUACGUUCCGGUGAUGUGCUGGAAUCUCAAAGUUGGAACAGCUACACCAAGAAGAAGAAUAUCGCUAAGCAAAUUUAUAUGAAUUACCGCAGCAUCGAAUUUCAUCAUUUUACGUAUAUAUCUUUUGUAGGGGAAGUAUGUCGAAUAUUAAGUACUGAAGUGAUUAAAAAUGAUUUGAAAUUAAAUAUGACUGAUAUAAAAUUCAAACGAGUCGUGACAUUUUUGCCACAUUAAGUAAAGCGUGAGAUGACCUAGCGCAAACAUGGAUAUGUAACUGUUACGUUCUUAUAAUGAAACGGAAUGUAAUACGCAAUGUAUUACGUGUAUAAAUUGAUUCGGUGCCUUUGCAUUUAAUGUCCAGUAACUUUGAUUCAAAUUAAAAUUUUUUUUCCAUCCUAAGAUGAUUUGAAAGUGCCAACCUUAAGCUUUAAGAAGCAUUAUAAUAGUUGCCGUCUUAUAACCUCAGAAAACAGUAGUUAUCACGAUGUUGUUUGAAAAAAAAAACAACUUAGGCAACCUUCUUGCACUUCGGUUGAAUCAAAAUGCUGCUCAGUCUAUCGAAAUGAUUUGUUCCGCUUUGGAUGAAAGUGCUAUAUAGAAGGUGACCCAUAAAACUUGUAAAAAAACCUUUUACUGACAAUAGAAGAAUAGGCAAGUGAUUCUGCUGCACGAUAACGCGCGGCCACAUGUCGCAAAAGAGAGGAAGGAUCUCAUCUAAACAUUGGGCUGGGAAUUUCUCUCUCGUGCAGCUUAUUCUAGAGAUCUAGCCCCGUCAGGGCUAUUUACCAUCUAUUUUGGUCGCUUCAAAAUCAUCUGGCGGAUACACAUUUUAAAAAAGUUGACAAGGCCCGUAAAAACAUUGAUGACUUUAUUGAGUCAAAAUUACUAAGUUUUUUUCCCGCAAGGGCAUUCAUCAGUUACUCGAUAUACAUGGAAUGAAGUCAUAGAAAAUGAUGGAAAUUAUUUUGAACAUUAAGCUUGUAUUUGACUUUUUGUAAAUAAACUUUGAAUUUGAUGAAAAAAGGCAGCGAAUUAAUUUGUACACCUAAUAACACACAUGUACCAGUUAGUAGUAAUUUUCUACAUAUAUGAAUUAUAUAAUGUAAAUAUAACAUGUCACUAAAAUAUUAUACAGAUGUUAUGUAACUGUUAUGCGGGAAGUAAUACAGAUGUUAUAUGUAAUUGUUAAAAAUGUAACUAAAAUGUAAGAGUUAUAUAAAUUAGUAUAUUUUU